AUGAAGUCAGUGCUGAUGGUUAAAGCCCAACAUUGCAAAGCUGCGUUCAAGAAACUUGGGGUGGGUAGCGUGUCCGCGCCGAGAAGCUGCUCAGCAGCGUUACUGGAGGAGGAGUGUCCAAGAAGCUUCUCGAGGCUAACUCUGACUGAGCUCUGCUUUCUCUUUCAGCAAAGUACCUUAAAGAUGGAUAUAGAAGACUGUAAUGGACGAUCUUACAUAUCUGGUAGUGGAGAUUCCUCUCUGGAGAAGGAGUUCAGCUCGGCGAUUGUGGGACCCACGGUGAGCACACCCAACAGCCAGCACUCCUCCCCGAGCCGCUCGCUCAGCGAUUUCUUUCUAAGUCUGACUCUUUGUCUUCCAACCGAAGAGGAUAAAAACCCUGCUUUGGUCUCCGAGUGGAGCAGCUGCCAGGUUACUUAUCCUGGGCGUUGGACACCUGACUGCUGCAGAGCCUGGAGUUUUGGAGUCAGCUGUGGCAACGCCCGGGACGUGUGGUCUUUCUUCCCAGUGUGGUUGUGCAUUUCACCUGGGAUUUCAAGCAGCUGCAUGUUGCAGACUGGUAAUGACAACAGCUCGGAAGGGGCAGCAAAGCUGUUGGUUGCUUUGGAAUAA
rnacentral:lncRNA from 1 species